CCUACGGGGGGCAGCAGUGGGGAAUAUUGGACAAUGGGGGGAACCCUGAUCCAGCCAUGCCGCGUGUGUGAAGAAGGCCCUCGGGUUGUAAAGCACUUUCAGUGAGGAAGAACGCCUGGUGGUUAAUACCCAUCAGGAAAGACAUCACUCACAGAAGAAGCACCGGCUAACUCCGUGCCAGCAGCCGCGGUAAUACGGAGGGUGCGAGCGUUAAUCGGAAUUACUGGGCGUAAAGCGCGCGUAGGUGGCUUGAUAAGCCGGUUGUGAAAGCCCCGGGCUCAACCUGGGAACGGCAUCCGGAACUGUUAAGCUUGAGUGGAGGAGAGGAAGGUAGAAUUCCCGGGGGAGCGGUGAAAUGCGUAGAGAUCGGGAGGAAUACCAGUGGCGAAGGCGGCCUUCUGGACUGACACUGACACUGAGGUGCGAAAGCGUGGGUAGCAAACAGGAUUAGAUACCCUAGUAGUC
rnacentral:rRNA from 1 species